AUUGAACGCUGGCGGCAUGCCUUACACAUGCAAGUCGAACGGCAGCACGGGAGCAAUCCUGGUGGCGAGUGGCGAACGGGUGAGUAAUGUAUCGGAACGUGCCCAGUCGUGGGGGAUAACGUAGCGAAAGCUACGCUAAUACCGCAUACGAUCUAUGGAUGAAAGCGGGGGAUCGCAAGACCUCGCGCGAUUGGAGCGGCCGAUAUCAGAUUAGGUAGUUGGUGGGGUAAAGGCUCACCAAGCCGACGAUCUGUAGCUGGUCUGAGAGGACGACCAGCCACAUUGGGACUGAGACACGGCCCAGACUCCUACGGGAGGCAGCAGUGGGGAAUUUUGGACAAUGGGCGCAAGCCUGAUCCAGCAAUGCCGCGUGCAGGAUGAAGGCCUUCGGGUUGUAAACUGCUUUUGUACGGAACGAAACGGCGAGCUCUAAUACAGUUUGCUAAUGACGGUACCGUAAGAAUAAGCACCGGCUAACUACGUGCCAGCAGCCGCUGUAA
rnacentral:rRNA from 1 species